UCUCAGGUGUGUCCCAGGUGUCCCUGACUUGUCCAGGUGUGUCCCAGGUGUCUCUCAGGUGUGUCCCAGGUGUCCCUGACUUGUCCAGGUGUGUCUGAGGUGUCCCCAGGUGUGUCCCAGGUGUCCCUCACCUGCCCAGGUGUGUCCCUCACCUGAAGGGGUAGCCGUACGCCGCCGUCACGUUGGUCACCUAUGUCCCGUUGUCCCCAGGUGUGUCCCUCACCUGUCCCACCCCUCUCACCUGUCCCAGGUGUGUCCCCAGGUGUGUCCCUCACCUGAAGGGAUAUCCAUACGCCGCCGUCACAUUCGUCACCUGUGUCCCGUUGUCCCCAGGUGUGUCCCUCACCUGUCCCACCUGUCUCACCUAUCUCACGUGUGUCCCUCACCUGUGUCACCUGUCCCAGGUGUCUCCCAGGUGUAUCUGGGAUGGCCCUCACCCAUCCCACGUGUCCCCAGGUGUGUCCCUCACCUGUCCCACCCAUCUCACCUUUCCAGGUAUGUCCCAGGUGUGUCCCCAGGUGUCUCUCAGGUGUCCCCAGGUGUGUCUCACCUAUCUCAGGUGUGUCCCUCACCUGUCCAGGUGUGUCCCAGGUGUCCUCAGGUGUGUCCCUCACCUGUCUCAUCUGUCCCAAAUGUCCCCAGGUGUAUCUGACGUGUCCCUGGAUCUGUCCCAGUUGUCCCCAGUGUCCCUCACCUGUCCAGGUGUGUCCCCAGGUGUCUCUCAGGUGUGUCCCAGGCGUGUCCCUCACCUGUCUCACCUAUCCCAGGUGUCCCCAACAUGUCCAGGUGUAUCUGAGGUGUCCCCAGGUGUCCCAGUGUCCCUCACCUGUCCAGGUGUGUCCCCAGGUGUGUCCCAGGUGAUGUCACCUGCCCCAGGUGUGUCCCCACAUGUCCCUCACCUGUCCAGGUGUGUCCCCAGGUGUCUCUCAGGUGUGUCGCAGGCGUGUCCCUCACCUGUCUCACCUAUCCCAGGUGUCCCCAUGUGUCCCUCACCUGUCCAGGUGUGUCCCAGGUGUAUCUGAGAUGUCCCUCACCCAUCCCACCUGUCCCCAGGUGUCCCAGUGUCCCUCACCUGUCCCCACCUGUCCCAGGUGUGUCCCUCACCUGAAGGGAUAUCCAUACGCCGCUGUCACAUUGGUCACCUGUGUGCCGUUGUCCCCGCCCGCGCAGGUGUGUCCCUCAUGUCCCCAGGUGAUGUCACCUGUCCCAGGUGUGUCCCCAGGUGUCCCCAGGUGUGUCCCCAGGUGUGUCAGAGAUGUCACCAGGUGUGUCAGAGAUGUCACCAGGUGUGUCCCUCACCUGAAGGGAUAUCCAUACGCCGCCGUCACGUUGGUCACCUGUGUCGCGUUGUCCCCAGGUNNNNNNNNNNNNNNNNNNNNNNNNNNNNNNNNNNNNNNNNNNNNNNNNNNNNNNNNNNNNNNNNNNNNNNNNNNNNNGGUGUAUCCAAGAUGUCCCCAGGUGUCCCCAGGUGUGUCCUCACCUGUCCAGGUGCAUCCCAGGUGUCCCAGGUGUCCCUCACCUGUCCCACCCAUCUCACCUGUCCAGGUGUAUCUGAGGUGUCCCAGG
ensembl:lncRNA